GGGGAAUCUUCCGCAAUGGGCGCAAGCCUGACGGAGCAAGACCGCGUGCGGGAGGACGGCCUAUUGGUUGUAAACCGCUUUUGAUAGGGAAGAAGCUCUGACGGUACCUAUCGAAUCAGCAUCGGCUAACUCCGUGCCAGCAGCCGCGGUAAUACGGAGGAUGCAAGCGUUAUCCGGAAUUAUUGGGCGUAAAGCGUCCGUAGGUGGUUGUUCAAGUCUGCUGUUAAAGCGUGCGGCUUAACCGCAUACCAGCAGUGGAAACUGGGCGACUAGAGUGCGGUAGGGGUCAGGGGAAUUCCCAGUGUAGCGGUGAAAUGCGUAGAUAUUGGGAAGAACACCAGCGGCGAAAGCGCGUGACUGGGCCUGAACCCCAAAUACCUUUCCCCCCGCUAGGGGAGCGAAUGGGAUUAGAUACCCCAGUAGUC
rnacentral:rRNA from 1 species